rnacentral:lncRNA from 10 species
AACUCGGCUUGGGAGACAAUAAUAAAAUUCAACUUCUUUCUCUGCCCACUAACUGACAAGACUUAGCAUCAGCACCUCCAGGAUGUUUACAAAAUUGAUGGACUUGGUACUGUCCCUGUGGUCCUAGGAGAGACUGGAAUUAUUAAACCUAAUAUCAUGUUCACCUUUGCUUUCCUUAGUGUUACAUCCAAAGUAAAACCUGUUGAGAUGCACCAGGAAGCUUUGAGAGAAGCUCUUCUUGUGGACAAAAGGGCUUCAAUAUUAAUAACAUUUCUGUGAAAUAUGUUUGUUACAGGAAAGUGGCUGGUAACAGUAAAAAUUAUGCCUCAGUGAAAGCAGCUGGCUUCACUGGUCAUGUGAUUAUCCCGAACCAUCUAGGCCAAAUCAGUGCUGUCUUUGCCACAUAGCUCACAUUGCUGGCAAGGUUGCUUAGCUGAAGAAGGCUGGUCAUCAUUCUGGCAAGAAACCAGAAUGAUGGCCUCAAAUUCUUGAAAUCUGCUGGUGCUGCCAUCAUUGAUAGGGUUCUUGGCUAGCCCAUGUGUAUUGAAAACAUGUCUGAAUAUCCUUCUCUAGGUUAUUUUGCUGUUUAUAAUACGAAGCAGACACUUCCUGUGGGUAUCACUGUAACAGCAAAGUGUGAACAAGAAGGCUGCUAGAGCUGGCAAUGUCACCAAGUCUGCUUAGAAAGUUCAGAAGCCUAAUGAAUAUUGUCCGU